GGUUGUAGCUCAGUGGUAGAGCACUUGCCUAGUGUGUGUGAGGCACUGGGUUUGAUUCUCAGCACCA
rnacentral:tRNA from 1 species